UUCUCGUACGAUGACCGAAGUUAAGCAACGCCGAGCCUGGUCAGUACCUAGAUAGGUGACCGCUUGAGAAUACCAGGUGCUGGAAU